rnacentral:rRNA from 1 species
UACGGAGGAGGCAAGCGUUAUCCGGAAUUAUUGGGCGUAAAGCGUCCGCAGGUGGCACCUCAAGUCUGCUGUCAAAGACCGGGGCUUAACCCCAGAAAGGCAGUGGAAACUGAAGUGCUAGAGUGCAGUAGGGGUAGAGGGAAUUCCCGGUGUAGCGGUGAAAUGCGUAGAGAUCGGGAAGAACAUCGGUGGCGAAAGCGCUCUGCUGGACUGCAACUGACACUCAGGGACGAAGGCCAGGGGAGCAAACAGG